GAUGAACGCUGGCGGCGUGCCUAAUACAUGCAAGUCGAGCGAAAAGAUGAGGAGCUUGCUCCUCUGACGUUAGCGGCGGACGGGUGAGUAACACGUGGAUAACCUCCCUAUCAGACUGGGAUAACUUCGGGAAACCGGAGAUAAUACCGGAUAAUAUAUUGAACCGCAUGGUUCAAUAGUGAAAGACGGUUUUGCUGUAACUUCUCGCUGGAUCCGCGCCGCAUUGGCUAGUAGGUAAGGUAAAGGGUUACCACGGCAACGAGGCGUAACCGAGGGGAGAGGGGGGUCGGCGACACGAGAACGGAGACGCCGUCCAGAGUACUACGGGACGCAGCAGUAGCGAACCUGCCGCAGUGGUCGAAAGCCUUACAGAGUAGCGCCGCGUGAGAGAUGAAGAUCUUCGGAUCGUAAUACUCUGUUAUGAGUUAAGAACAAAUGUGUAAGUAACUAUGCACGUCUUGACGGUACCUAGUCAAGAAGCCACGGCUAACUACGUG
rnacentral:rRNA from 1 species